rnacentral:rRNA from 1 species
GGUUAAGCGACUAAGCGUACACGGUGGAUGCCCUGGCAGUCAGAGGCGAUGAAGGACGUGCUAAUCUGCGAUAAGCGCCGGUAAGGUGAUAUGAACCGUUAUAACCGGCGAUUUCCGAAUGGGGAAACCCAGUGUGAUUCGUCACACUAUCAUUAACUGAAUCCAUAGGUUAAUGAGGCGAACCGGGGGAACUGAAACAUCUAAGUACCCCGAGGAAAAGAAAUCAACCGAGAUUCCCCCAGUAGCGGCGAGCGAACGGGGAGGAGCCCAGAGUCUGAAUCAGCAUGUGUGUUAGUGGAAGCGUCUGGAAAGGCGCGCGAUACAGGGUGACAGCCCCGUACACAAAAGCGCAUGUGCUGUGAGCUCGAUGAGUAGGGCGGGACACGUGGUAUCCUGUCUGAAUAUGGGGGGACCAUCCUCCAAGGCUAAAUACUCCUGACUGACCGAUAGUGAACCAGUACCGUGAGGGAAAGGCGAAAAGAACCCCGGCGAGGGGAGUGAAAAAGAACCUGAAACCGUGUACGUACAAGCAGUGGGAGCACAGGUUUACCUGUGUGACUGCGUACCUUUUGUAUAAUGGGUCAGCGACUUAUAUUCUGUAGCAAGGUUAACCGUAUAGGGGAGCCG